rnacentral:rRNA from 1 species
UACGGAGGGUGCGAGCGUUGUCCGGAUUUAUUGGGUUUAAAGGGUGCGUAGGUGGCCUAUUAAGUCAGUGGUGAAAUACAGCCGCUUAACGGUUGAGGUGCCAUUGAUACUGAUGGGCUUGAAAUAAUUGGAGGCUGCCGGAAUGGAUGGUGUAGCGGUGAAAUGCAUAGAUAUCAUCCAGAACACCGAUUGCGAAGGCAGGUGGCUACGAUUGGUUUGACACUGAGGCGCGAAAACAUGGGGAGCAAACAGG